rnacentral:lncRNA from 1 species
CUCCUAUGAAAGGAUUGUUGGACCGCCCAAAGGUCAUGACCCACAGGAUGAGAAUCACUGAAUUAAAAGCUGAGACCUAAUGAAAAGGACUGAAGUGUAAGAAGCCUUGCUGCUCUCGUCAGCCUUCUGUCUAAAAUAAAAGUGAACGCUGGAGAGAAAGAAGGAAGAAAGGAAGGAGGCCAAUGUAAUAAAUUCUUCAAAUAGCAG